AAAAAAAAAACUUUAGUUGACUUGUUUUAGCCUUGGUCAAAGGGAAUAAAAAGCAUGAAUAGUUAAAAUUACAGGGACUAAACAGUAUAAAUAGUUGAAAUUAAAUUGACUAAACAGUGUAAAUAUUUAAGACUAAAAACAAGUUGACUAGUGUUUUAUUUGACAGAAGGACUAAAGAGAUUGAUUUUACAAAAAUAUAGGGACAUUUUAAUUGAGUUUUAAGAAAAUAAGGACUA
rnacentral:misc_RNA from 1 species